rnacentral:misc_RNA from 1 species
CAAUUCCGAACGGGGUUUAUAGCCCCUUCUUCUCGUGUUUUUGGAAGAGGCGAGCUGGUUGAUGAUCCUGUCAUUGUCGCUAGAAGAUACAUGACCUCCAGCUUUAUCAUUGAUGUCCUAUCAAUUCUUCCACUCCCUCAGGUGGUAGUUUUGAUCAUCAUUCCCAGCUUGCGAGGUCCUGUUUCAUUGAUUGCCAAGAACUUGUUGAAGUUUGUUAUUUUAUCCCAAUAUGUGCCAAGAUUUAUGAGAAUCUACCCGCUAUUCAAAGAAGUAACUAGUAAUUCUGGAAUACUUACUGAAACGGCAUGGGCUGGAGCUGUUCUCAAUCUCAUCCUCUAUAUGCUGGCCAGUCAUAUAAUUGGAGCCUAUUGGUACUUGAUGUCGAUAGAAGGCGAACAUAGGUGCUGGCGUAGAUUCUGUAAGGCUCCUCCGUGUAUUUCUAAAAACUUGUACUGUGGAGAACACGAAAACAGUUCGGCAAACUUGAGUGCAUUUCUGAAAGAAUCUUGCCCUUAUAUCAAGCCCGAUGAAAUUAAAAAUUCAACUGUCUUCAACUUUGGAAUAUUUACUGAUGCUCUAGAAUCUGGCAUAGUGGAAACAUGGGAUUUUCCAAGGAAAUUCUUCUACUGCUUUUGGUGGGGUCUGCGUAAUCUAAGCGCUCUGGGCCAGAACCUCAAGACAAGCACUUAUGUUGGGGAGAUU